CUAUGGUUACUGUGGAACAAAAAGUCUCUCCGUAUCAAAUGAAGAGAAUCGAUUUAGUGUAAAAAUGAACUUCUAAUUGUUUUUUCAUAUUCUAUACCCUCAUUUUUUACACUAAAGGGUGAGGAUCCAAAUUCAAUGGUUACUUUGGGGAAAUAUUUUUCUCCCCUCAAUCCCCACGUUCCAGCCCUCCCCACAUUCCUCUUCUUUUCCUUCCUUUUCUUCAUUUUCUUUCUUUCCCCUUUUUCCCUUGCAGCACGAUCUCUCCCCCUCUUCUCUUUUCUUCCAUUCUCUUUCCCCUGUUCUGUCGCCCAGCCCCACUUUCCCUCUCCUCUCUUCCCUUCCUCAUUUCUCCUCUCUUCCAUCACACCCGCACAACCCGAGUGAAACCCAGCAUGAGAGAUCAUCGCCGAGAGUAAGAGAGACCCGAUCCUUCCGGACUAGACGACGCCGGCGGAGCUGAGGGCGUGAUUUCCGGUGGGUGACGCCGGUGAAGCGAAUAGGAGCCAAUUUCCGGCGUCCGGGUAGAGGAUCAUUCCUUGGAUGAAUUUCCGGAUCGUGUCCGGAUUUGAGGCUUUAAUUGGUUCUCCAAUGGAGAGUCCAAGUGACUAGAGUCCAAAUGAGUGCUCGAGUCAAGAGUCCAAUACAGCCAAGGUGAGUAUUCUACUCACUGAGAAAUUAUAUUUUUUUAUGUAUUAUGGAUUUGUAAAAUUUAUAUUGUUUUAUGAAUCUGAACCAACUAUAUGAUGAAAUAUAUGUUUUAGUAAUUUGAUUAGUUUGAUUAUGUUCAAUUAUAUCAAUGAUGAUUAAAAACUGAUGCAAGAGUGAAAUGUGUUGAAUUGAGUUAAA